rnacentral:rRNA from 1 species
ACGCUCGACACCUACGGGGAGGCAGCAGUGGGGAAUAUUGCACAAUGGGGGAAACCCUGAUGCAGCAACGCCGCGUGAAGGAAGACGGUUUUCGGAUGUAAACUUCUGUUCUUAGUGAAGAUAGUGACGGUAGCUAAGGAGCAAGCCACGGCUAACUACGUGCUAGCAGCCGCGGUAAUCUGAGCGGGCUGGCAAGGC